AUGAUAGAUCCCCUAUACUUGUGGGUCAUCAGGCAGCACGCCGGAGCCAGCCCGCUUCCUUCCUGGCAAGGACAAGGACGGCAAGGAAUCCACCGAGCCCAACCCUCUCCACCAAUCUGGGUCCGGUAGGACCAACAAGUGCUCGGGUACCUGCUCAAUAAUAUCUCAAAAGAGGUGUUGGUGCAGGUGACCGCGAUCACCACGAUGCACGCGCUCUGGACCACUUUGGCGGCCAUGUUCUCCUCGCAGUCGCUUAGCCGUGUCAACUACAUACACACGGCUUUGCUGCAUGCGCAGAAGGGAACUCAGCCGGUCGCCACCUUCUUCGCCCACAUGCGCGGCCUCGCUGAUGAACUCGCCGCGGCCGGCAAGCCGCUGCAAGACGACGAGAUCGUCUCCUACAUCAUCCACGCGCUGGACAUGGAGUACCAGCCUCUGGUGUCGGCCCUGGAUGCCCGCACCUCCCCCGUCACCCUAGAUGAGUUGUUCACCAUGCUAAGCAAUUUUGAUUAG
rnacentral:rRNA from 1 species